rnacentral:rRNA from 1 species
GGCCUACGGGAGGCAGCAGUGAGGAAUAUUGGUCAAUGGCCGGGAGGCUGAACCAGCCAAGUCGCGUGAGGGAAGACGGCCCUACGGGUUGUAAACCUCUUUUGUCAGGGAGCAAGGUGCAGGUCGGGACCUGCUGUGAGAGUACCCGCAGAAUAAGCAUCGGCUAACUCCGUGCCAGCAGCCGCGGUAAUACGGAGGAUGCGAGCGUUAUCCGGAUUUAUUGGGUUUAAAGGGUGCGUAGGCGGAUUUUUAAGUCAGCGGUAAAAUGUCCGGGCUCAACCCGGGCCGGCCGUUGAAACUGGGGG